CUUGGUCAUUUAGAGGAAGUAAAAGUCGUAACAAGGUUUCCGUAGGUGAACCUGCGGAAGGAUCAUUCACAAACGAGUGUUUUAUGGCACUCUUUAAAAAUCCAUAUCCACCUUGUGUGCAAUGUUUGUUGGGAAAGUCUUUUCUUUCCCUUCAUAAAUAUCAACCUAUAUCUUUAACAACAUUCGUCUGAUAACAUAUUAUGAAUAUACUUAAUUCAAAAUAUAACUUUCAACAACGGAUCUCUUGGCUCUCGCAUCGAUGAAGAACGCAGCGAAAUGCGAUACGUAAUGUGAAUUGCAGAAUUCAGUGAAUCAUCGAAUCUUUGAACGCAUAUUGCGCUCUUUGGUAUUCCGAAGAGCAUGCUUGUUUGAGUAUCAGUAAACACCUCAACCUCUCUUUUUUGAUAAAAAAAAGGGAGGGUGGACUUGAGCUAUCCCAACGACCUUCACCGGUAGGCGGGCGGCUUGAAAUGCAGGUGCAGCUGGACUUUUAUCUGAGCUAAAAGCAUAUCUAUUUAGUCCUCGUCAAACAGGAUUAUUACUUUUGCUGCAGCUAACAUAAAGGAUAAUUGUCCUCUUUGCUGACUGAUGCAGGAUUUUACGACACUUUAUGUGUUGUUCAACUCGAUCUCAAAUCAAGUAAGACUACCCGCUGAACUUAAGCAUAUCAAUAAGCGGAGGAAAAGAAACUAACAAGGAUUCCCCUGGUAACGGCGAGUGAAGCGGGAUGAGCUCAAAUUUGAAAUCUGGCUGGUUUACUAGUCCGAGUUGUAAUUUAAAGAAGCGUUUUCGGUGGCAGCCUGGGUAUAAAUCCUUUGGAAUAGGGUAUCAUAGAGGGUGAGAAUCCCGUCUUUGACCUAGUGCAUGCUACUAUGUGAUACGUUUUCAAAGAGUCGAGUUGUUUGGGAAU
rnacentral:sRNA from 1 species